rnacentral:rRNA from 1 species
UGGGGAAUAUUGCACAAUGGGCGCAAGCCUGAUGCAGCCAUGCCGCGUGUAUGAAGAAGGCCUUCGGGUUGUAAAGUACUUUCAGCGGGGAGGAAGGUGUUGAGGUUAAUAACCUCAGCAAUUGACGUUACCCGCAGAAGAAGCACCGGCUAACUCCGUGCCAGCAGCCGCGGAAAUACGGAGGGUGCAAGCGUUAAUCGGAAUUACUGGGCGUAAAGCGCACGCAGGCGGUCUGUCAAGUCGGAUGUGAAAUCCCCGGGCUCAACCUGGGAACUGCAUUCGAAACUGGCAGGCUAGAGUCUUGUAGAGGGGGGUAGAAUUCCAGGUGUAGCGGUGAAAUGCGUAGAGAUCUGGAGGAAUACCGGUGGCGAAGGCGGCCCCCUGGACAAAGACUGACGCUCAGGUGCGAAAGCGUGGGGAGCAAACA